UGUGGGAGCUGGCUUGCCUGCGAUAGCAUCAACUCGGUAUGACAGACAUACCGAGUUGAUGCUAUCGCAGGCAAGCCGGCUCCCACA
rnacentral:misc_RNA from 1 species